rnacentral:misc_RNA from 1 species
GAUGAAGAACGUAGUGAAAUGCGAUACGUAGUGUGAAUUGCAGAAUUCAGUGAAUCAUCGAAUCUUUGAACGCACAUUGCGCCCCUUGGUAUUCCAUGGGGCAUGCCUGUUCGAGCGUCAUUUGUACCUUCAAGCUCUGCUUGGUGUUGGGUGUUUGUCUCGCCUCUGCGUGUAGACUCGCCUCAAAACAAUUGGCAGCCGGCGUAUUGAUUUCGGAGCGCAGUACAUCUCGCGCUUUGCACUCAUAACGACGACGUCCAAAAGUACAUUUUUACACUCUUGACCUCGGAUCAGGUAGGGAUACCCGCUGAACUUAAGCAUAUCAAUAAGCGGAGGA